GAUGAACGCUGGCGGCGUGCCUAAUACAUGCAAGUCGAGCGAACCACUUCGGUGGUGAGCGGCGAGCGGGUGAGUAACACGUAGGUGAUCUGCCCAUCAGACGGGGACAACGAUUGGAAACGAUCGCUAAUACCGGAUAGGACGAAAGUUUAAAGGUGCUUCUGGCACCGCUGAUGGAUGAGCCUGCGGCGCAUUAGCUAGUUGGUAGGGUAAAGGCCUACCAAGGCGACGAUGCGUAGCCGACCUGAGAGGGUGAACGGCCACACUGGGACUGAGACACGGCCCAGACUCCUACGGGAGGCAGCAGUAGGGAAUCUUCGGCAAUGGGCGAAAGCCUGACCGAGCAACGCCGCGUGAAUGAUGAAGGCCUUCGUGUUGUAAAAUUCUGUUAUAAGGGAAGAACGACUUUAGUAGGAAAUGGCUAGAGUGUGACGGUACCUUAUGAGAAAGCCACGGCUAACUACGUGCCAGCCGCCGCAAGUAA
rnacentral:rRNA from 1 species